UAAAGAUACUUGCGUCCGUUUCGGAUGCCUCGCGGAGAUCCCGGGAGGGGUGAAAUUCCCAUGA
rnacentral:ncRNA from 1 species